rnacentral:lncRNA from 1 species
ACGACAUGGGACCAUGUCUUAAAGUACAGAAAUAAAUGAAGCCACGACAUACAGAAAGUCCCAAAACAUAACGACAUGGGACCAUGUCUUAAAGUACAGAAAUAAAUGAAGCCACGACAUACAGAAAGUCCCAAGACAUGUAGGAUUCUUAAUUCCUAGUGGUUGUAUAAUGUAUCAUCUUGGCGGGGUUUUUUUUAUUGUUUGUGGCAUUUUCUGUAUUUUUUUAUUUUUUCAUAAUUUUUUUUUAAUAUUUGGGAUUUUUGUGUCGAUGGCAAAUGUUUGAUAGUUUGUAUAAUUUUAAAAACCGGUUCGGUAGAAUUUGAGCUUGUCAGUUAGUUUUGUCGUUGGGUUACUGUGUCGCUGACUUAUACACCACAUGUCCUUCAAGUCAUAUGACAUGACAUAAGAUUAAUAAGGAGAUGUAGUAUGCCAUAUUGCGAUGAAACAAUCAGUGUCAACCACCUGAUAGUGCACUGGACUGAUUUAAAUAUUGAAGCGACAUAUACUAACUAAAUAUAAUGGCGUACACUUGUCUGUAAACCUCAUGAAGCAUACAAACGACAAACAGGAUAUAUACACUGAUACAGGUCCCACAAUACAAGUAUACUUCCGCUUUAUUUAGAUACAGUAAAUGUGGACCUCAAGUACAGAGAGGAAGUUUAUAUAUAAUCCCUAUUGUGUGUAUAAUCUUCCAGUAAUGUUGGAGAACUUCCCUGUUCCAUGACUAGCAGUCUUCCUGUGCAUUCAUUGUUUUUACGUUUCCGGACGGCUACUAUAAAGUUGACAACAAUAUGUUUCGUGCAUUAAGAUAACAUAUUGAUAACCGAAAUAAAAUUCUCUUUGAUCUUGUUAGUAUUUACCCCUGACCGAGGAUAAAGAACAACGAAAUAAAGGUAAACGUCCACCUACUUCAGUUUAAACUUUGUGGUUUUUAAAUGAUCAGGGUACCUGUUUGUGACAACACGCUCAAAAUAAACUUCGAUACUAUAAAAUGCCGAGAUAUUAAUUUAACUCUUUGUCACAGUCUCUUUAUCGGACGACCACAAUCAGAGUGCAGAUUUUAUUAACGCAACAUUAGCGUUUAGAUCUGUGUGGGAAAUUUAUGAGCCAACUAAAAGUUGUUUUUCAAACGUAUAUAUAUGUGUUUUGCUAUUCAUUGAUUUGUCCCACUCAUACACACCAUAAGUGACUUAGUGCUUCCUAUAAAGUUUAAAGGAACUUAUUCGUAGCUCAGUAAUUACUAUCUAUUACAUGUACUUAGUUAAAAGUCGUUUUCAAAAAGGAUUUAUGAUUAUAACGUUUAACGACAUCAUAUCACUUAAACACCUUUACUGACGGACAAAUAACUAUAUACAUCCCAACCAAAUAUUUAUUGAGCGUAAUUCUUGCAUGAAAAGAUCCCGCAAAGAGUAUAUAAAUAUAAAUAUAAGUAUGAAAAUAUCUACUUGAUAUUACUCUAACCAGACACAGUGUAUUAAUAUAUGAAAAAAAC